AAUGGCCUGACAUCUGGGGAGGAGGCAGAGCAAGUAUUUUCCUACCUUUCAAGAUAUAACAACAACACUAAGAACAUGCUUAAAGCUGAGCGUACAGAAGAACUGACAGAGGCGGCACUCUUUUGGAAUCACAGAAAAAUUAAUGGAAUGCCUCGGGCAUUAGUUGCCAGAUUCAGAAAGGCCACAGAGACAGCUGCAGCAGUUUCAAAUGAGAUUCACAGGCUUAAUGUCCCAGAAUCUGUUAUUGAGAAAUGGAGAUCAGAAUUACUGAUCAUUGCAAGAUCCUUAAAUAACAAAUCCU